rnacentral:rRNA from 1 species
UGAGGAAUAUUGGGUCAAUGGGCGAGAGCCUGAACCAGCCAAGUAGCGUGCAGGAUGACGGCCCUAUGGGUUGUAAACUGCUUUUAUAAGGGAAUAAAGUGGGUCACGUGUGACUUUUUGCAUGUACCUUAUGAAUAAGGACCGGCUAAUUCCGUGCCAGCAGCCGCGGUAAUACGGAAGGUCCGGGCGUUAUCCGGAUUUAUUGGGUUUAAAGGGAGCGUAGGCCGGAGAUUAAGCGUGUUGUGAAAUGCCGCGGCUCAACCGUGGCACUGCAGCGCGAACUGGUUUUCUUGAGUGCGCGCGACGCAGGCGGAAUUCGUGGUGUAGCGGUGAAAUGCUUAGAUAUCACGAGGAACCCCGAUUGCGAAGGCAGCUUGCGGGAGCGCAACUGACGCUGAAGCUCGAAGGUGCGGGUAUCGAACAGGAUUAGAUACCCUGGUAGU